UCGUCGCCGGCCGGGGGUGGCGGCGCGUGGUUCGGGCCUGCUUCGAGGUCGGGGCCGAGGUUCGCCUCGUCGACGACGAUC
rnacentral:tRNA from 1 species